rnacentral:rRNA from 1 species
GUGAGGAAUCUUCCACAAUGGGCGAAAGCCUGAUGGAGCAACGCCGCGUGCAGGAUGAAGGCCUUCGGGUUGUAAACUGCUUUUAUAAGUGAAGAAUAUGACGGUAACUUAUGAAUAAGCACCGGCUAACUACGUGCCAGCAGCCGCGGUCAUACGUAGGGUGCAAGCAUUAUCCGGAGUGACUGGGCGUAAAGAGUUGCGUAGGUGGUUUAUUAAGUAGGUAGUGAAAGCUGACGGCUCAACCGUACAGACUAUUACCUAAACUGGUAAACUCGAGAAUGGUAGAGGUAACUGGAAUUUCUUGUGUAGGAGUGAAAUCCGUAGAUAUAAGAAGGAACACCAAUGGCGUAGGCAGGUUACUGGACCAUUUCUGACACUGAGGCACGAAAGCGUGGGGAGCGAACGGGAUUAGAAACCCUAGUAGUCC